GCUGCCGGUGCGCGGCGGCGGGGAGCGCGCAACCUGCGCCCGGGAGAGGUAGCGGCUCCGGCGCCGCGGUCCCUCGCGGAGGCGGAGAGGAUGAGGGUGGCUUCUGGCUGCUUUUUUUGCCUCCUCGAGAUGAUUUCCAUAGUAACCUGAUCGAGCGGUGCAAUUUCGGAAACUGGGGUGGCUUUAUUAUUAUUAUUAUUAUUUUUUUUUUUUUUUUUCCAUUUUUUUCUCCGCUUCUUCCCUCCCACCUCGUCGGCCCCCGAGGAGUGACAGGCGGCAGAUUCGAACUAGCUGGCAGUUUCUUCUACACUUGAAGCAAUGAGUGAGUAAUGACAAGGUAAAAAGGGCCUAGGACUAAUUUAUAUGCAUUUUUAACUCUAUUCCACAAAUUGCUGAAAGACUUACUGUUUGUUUUAAAAAUCGGAGUUCUCAUGCCUAGCUGCACAUGCGUGUAAUAGCUCCUUGCUGUGCCUCUCCUGCCCUGGGGAGGAGACCAGGGAAUCUUUUUUCUUCUACCCAGCCCUCCCAUUGUUCUCAUUCACAGACCCUGUGAGAUUAAAUGGCUGAUAGUGUUCUCUGACCCGUACCACUGCUUUCCACUUUGAGGUCCUGAAAUAGAUUUCCCUUGCCUUUGGCAAGUGCAGCUCAUGUCUGUGCCCUACAGCCCAUUGCCUGAGGUGUGCAGGAGAGCAAGCAACAGAUAUGAAGGCAAUGGAAUUCAGGCAGCACCAGUCUCUGUGCAGAGCACCAGAACAUGCAGGUUUCCACCCAUUCUGACACUAAAGAUUUCUUGAGUAAUCACCAAAUACUCAUCCUGCUGCACGAAAUGCAUGUGUAGUGCCUUUGCUGUAGGCCUUACCAGCCACAGCGACUCCACAAGAAAGGGAACUCUAGCAGUAAGGUUAAUGACUGUUUCUUGUUUGGUGGUCUAGUCCUGUAGCACAAAGAAAACACGUUAUGAACUUGCGUACUGUAGGCUCAUCUGUGGGCAGUGAUAUAACUUGUCAUCUAAGACUGUUCCCUUGGAUGGAAACAGCCAGAAAGUUUUAUCCAUUGAUACCUACCUGCUAAAAUAAGAGAGACGUGGUACAAAUUGCUGUAUUUGAGGAACAGGUAUGAAUUCAUAAAUUAAUGUUUCAUGCUGCUUUUUUUCCCCCAAGAAAAUAGGAUAGAACAUCCAUUUGAGAGGAGCUAUUUUGUGCUCUUUUUACUACCAACCCCCCCCCUUUUUUUUUAGAUCUGAAAGCUUCUGACGCCUCUAUAGAUAGUAAUUUUAAUUAAUUUCCCAAUUAUUAAGAAUAUACCCACUCAGAGGAACAUGCUAAACAUCACAAUUGUAAAGAUUAAUUGUUCAGAUGUAAUUAGAGCCGUGUUCUGUGCUCAAAAGCACUGGUGAAUGUCUACAGUCGCACUAUUUAAAUCAUUUAAAUCUAUAUUGGACUAAUGCCAUUAUCUCUAAAAUCAAGAUCUGCUCAAUAGUGCUUGGUUAUCCUCUUGCUUAGAAUAUUUUUAAUGUGGACUGUUUGUCUUCAAGGUACUAGUGAAGCUAGUUUUCUUAAAAGCAAAAUGAAGCAAAACCCAAACAAAACCUAGGCAAGCUCUUUAAAGAGGAAUGAAACAAUUACUUCUCUCUAGCGGUCAUUCCCUUCAGAGUUUUGAGCAGAAGACAAAGCCUGUUUUCUAUGGAGCAGUUUUCUGAAGAUUAAGUGCUAAAUAAUUACUGCUUUUCGGUUGUGUGAAUCAGUGGGACACAGAGCAAGAAUACUUUGUGGGUUGAAAGGCAGGGAGGAGGUAGUGGUGUUAAUGGAAAAGAAGUGGGUGGUAAUCGUACAAUAAAGACCCUAGGAUAUUAACCUUUGACUUGCACAUGUUGUUUAUUUCAUGCUUGAUUAAUAGUUUUAAAAUUUAGGAGAAAAGACACCUUUUGGCCUUUUAAACAAUGCACACCUUCAGUGAAACACUCCUCUUUGUUUUGCUUGCUUAUCGGAAAGAGGAAAAUCGAAUGGUAUUAGUCACACUUACAGCCAUUUGAUUGCAUUUGUAGUAGUAGUUGAUGGCCUUUUAUUUGGAGCCUAUGCAGUUUCAUUUGGAGUGCAACACACGCUGCAUUCAUCUAGAGGAUUAACUCAAUUCUCUACGUUAGGAGGGUGACCUUGACCAACACAGUGUGUUUGGCUACAUGCAGUACUGCCUCUCCUUGAUUUUGGGGGAGGUGUGUUUUUUAUUGUAGUUAAUAGCUACAAAGUUUGUAUGUUAACUUAUCCAGAUUCCCAUCCCCAUUUCUGUUUUUGAAUGAGUACUUCUUACAUGAGUAUUGGGCAACGUUCUGCCUCUGAUGCAAAUAUUUGGCUCUCUCAGUUCCCAAUGGGAGCCAUUUGUGCGCUUGCAAGAAAUUUGGUUUACAAACCUCUGCUCAUGCUCUGAGUGGGCUAGCUCUAGGGUGAGUGAAGUGGGUUGAGCACAGGCUGGCAGAUGAUCAAUUCUGUGUGUGAUUCCCUCACAUCUACAAAGCAGAAUCAGAUUGAUCAGCACAGUUUACAUGGUGUUACUAUUUUACACCCUUAAAAACCCUUAAGAACCAUUAAAAACUCAAACUCUCCUUUUCAGUGUGAGAUGAUAUUAGAUUCUUUUAUGGCUGCUUAAUGUCUGUGGGUACCUGGCUCCCACUGAAUUGUAAAGUGCCCUUUUGUAGUUGGGAAAUUCUAACCCUAAUGGUUUUAGGGGGAAACGAUCUCUUUUUGCCCCCAGUUCUGAGUCUGAAUUUCUGUAGGCAACAUAGCACAGCGAUAUGCUUACUGUCUUUUCUAUAGAUGCUUUCCUCUGCAUUAUAGGACUGAAACACCUCGUACAUAUUGUACAUAUUCACAUACAAAAAGCCCUGGUCUGGAAAAUGAGCAUAAUAAAACAUUUAAUUUUGCAGACUUUACUUUGCAUAGCACGCAGUUUUAUUUCUGUAAACAUCAGACAUUCAUAUCUGUUAUUUAUGUAAAUUCCUAUGUCUGUUAUAGAUUUGCAAUCUUUGCACAUUCUCCAUUGAAAUUUGAUUAUGCAGUUUGUAAAACACAGACAGGAAUUUAAUGCCCAUUCCUGGUGAUGAUGAAGCAUUUUCUUGCUUUUCAGCAGCACGCAAUCUUUUGAUUUUAUCAGAGGUGGAAAACCUAAAUAGGUAUAUCAGAACAGCGAACAGAAUGAGUGUGUUUUUGGUUGUUAUGGAGCUUUUGGUAAGCGUUGUGUGGCUGCAAAAAGAGCUGCUGUGUGUGUGUGGGAGUGCUGGUGUCUGAACCGCUGAUUGCUGCCAGAGGUUGCUGGAGUGAAGACAAAUGAGUUCUUCAAAGCAAUUAAAAGCAGUGUAGGUGAUGAAACAGCAUCCAGUAAUCUCUCCCGGUUUCGUAUAAUGUUAGAUUUAGGUCAGUGUCAGUGCCAUGUGCUGCACAGAGGGUGGAAGCCACCGCUGAACCUUCCGUGCGGAUGCUCUGUAGCAGUGUCUUUUGGGGUGGAAAGAGUGCUGGUAGGAGCACACCACAAGAAAGCUCUGCACACUCCAGUGGUUCCCCUUUCAAUUCUGAGUACACUUCAAGGUCCUGAUCCUUCUGUUCUUAAUGGACUGGGGCCUGUCUUUGAGGCCACCUUUCCAUUUGCAGUCAGGAUGCACAGGUUUAACGAAGGUGCUGCGCUUGUUACAGCUGUGUGUGAAGCAGGGAGUCGGAGGCAGGGAGUGCUGCAGGCAUGGACUGAGCAAGCAGCAAAGGUCAGAGUGAGCCUGGACCUGCUCACAGCAUGCUGUGAAGACUGAGUGGCAUUGCUGCUACCACAGGGAGACUGAAAGGGAAAAUGCAGAGAUCGCUAUGUCCUAUGGGCAGAAACGGUUAGCUGCUGUAAGCAGGUCAACUCAGCCAAACUUAGUUGUAUGUAAGUUUUAAUUUACCGUGCCGCAGCUUGAACUUGGUGCCAUAACACUUCACACUGUGUGUCUACUAUAUACUUACACAUAGUUCAAAAAAGAUCAAGUUAGGUAAACCCACAUUAGGGGUAAAAGUCCAUAUAAGCAGGUCUUUACUUUCUGUCUCUUUGCUGCUUUAGCCUCAGGUAGUUCAGCAAAAGAUGGGGGGGAAAACUGCCUCCUCCCAGUGCCAGGUCAGUGGGACAUUGUCUUGAAGUCGCUUUGAGCUUCUGAAGAACUACCUACUUUCAUACUCAAAGAAGCAUGCUUACGGUGCAAAGCAGUUCUGGUUUUUCUUUCUCUAAAAUCCAUCCCAAUUUAUAGUAGAUGGGAUAAUCAUGGUCUGAGAACCAGGUGUUUUACUGUUGUGCAGCGUGUGCUCCUGCUGUGAUAUAGGGGUACGGUGCAUCUACAACAUUUUAAUGGUAAAACAAUUACAGUGGUUUUGGCAUUUCUAAAAAUAAUACUGGGAGGAGAAGCUUUGAAAGCAUAGAAUCAUAGAAUGGCUUGGGUUGGAAGGCACCUCAAGGAUUGUAAAGCACGAACCCCCCUGUGGCCUGCAGGGCCACCAACCUCCAUAUCUAAUAGUAGACUCUUACCCAUUUACUUAAAGGAAUUUCUUUCUCUGUUCACACCAAUAAAGGCAAGGCCAGUACAUCAUAUUACAAAUACAUCUGAAAGUUCACAAGAUGUCUUUCAACCCCAUCCUGCUCCAUCCUUUGUGACCAUCACAUAUCGUCUGUACUGAGCACAUUUCACACCAUAAGGGUAUGUGCUGCAGCUUUGUCCUCUACCUCCCCUCUGGUCACGGGAUCACUUGGGUCAGAAGGGGCCUCUGGGGAUCACCUGUUAGCUGCAGCUCUGUGGUGCCAAAAUGGUGCUAUUGAGGGAGACUUAUUUCUGUUGCAGCAGUAUGUGCUGACGAUGGGCGAUGUAACAGCAUCCAAAUGCAGUCUUCCAAGAAACCUGCCCAGGAAGCUUGUGCAAGUGCUUGUGGCUGAGGUCAGGCAAGGCCUGGUUUGCCAUUUGCAGCAGUUUUCUGCGUGGCAGUGGCAAAAGGAGGGGGCAAAGCAGUGUAGAAGCCUGAGAAAAAUACUCUUCCCUUAGGCAUACUGAACUGAAUCAUCAAAUGCUGGAAGCUGUCACCCAUGAUAGUACCUGAAGCAGAGAGGUCACACUGGCUUCCUUCAACACAGCACUGCUGUGUCCUGGGGAACCCCCUGUUCACACUCUGGCAGAGACACCGAAACAGCAGUGAGUAGAUUGAGCAGCUGAUGUGGGGAAGGGAAAGAGGCUUAGGCUGGGAGGCAGGAGGAAAGGGGAACAGUGCGUGCUCCCUUGUGCUGGCGGGGUUGGGAUGGGAUCGACUCUUUGUCAAGUCAGGCAAAGAGGCAAAAGACUUGAUGGAGUAGAUGGUGUCAUUUGCUUGAGAGAAGAAGUACUACGCCUCCUCAUUUCUGCUUUAAAUGAGGGAUUCAAACUAGCCCUCCACUUCAGCCAAAACAGCCGUGGGGGCCAUGGCUAUCUGUGCGGAUGGUGACUUGUAGACGUCACACUCACGUCCUUUCCAGCAGA
rnacentral:lncRNA from 1 species